CCUACGGGUGGCAGCAGUGAGGAAUAUUGGUCAAUGGGCGAGAGCCUGAACCAGCCAAGUCGCGUGAAGGAUGACUGUCCUACGGGUUGUAAACUUCUUUUGUCAGGGAGCAAUUGAGUCCACGUGUGGGUGUAGCGAGAGUACCUGAAGAAAAUGCACCGGCUAACUCCGUGCCAGCAGCCGGGGUAAUACGGGGGUUGCGAGCGUUACCCGGAUUUAUUGGGUUUAAAGGGUGCGUAGGCGGAAUAUCAAGUCAGCGGUAAAAAUUCGGGGCUCAACCCCGUCGAGCCGUUGAAACUGAUGUUCUUGAGUGGGCGAGAAGUAUGCGGAAUGCGUGGUGUAGCGGUGAAAUGCAUAGAUAUCACGCAGAACUCCGAUUGCGAAGGCAGCAUACCGGCGCCCAACUGACGCUGAAGCACGAAAGCGUGGGUAUCGAACAGGAUUAGAUACCCGUGUAGUC
rnacentral:rRNA from 1 species